UACGGAGGGUGCAAGCGUUAAUCGGAAUUACUGGGCGUAAAGGGUGCGUAGGUGGUUUAUUAAGUUAUCUGUGAAAGCCCUGGGCUCAACCUGGGAAGGUCAGAUAAGACUGAUAGACUGGAGUAUGGGAGAGGGUAGUGGAAUUCCCGGUGUAGUGGUGAAAUGCGUAGAUAUCGGGAGGAACACCAGUGGCGAAGGCGACUACCUGGCCUGUUUCUUGACGCUGAGGCGCGAAAGCUAGGGGAGCAAACGGG
rnacentral:rRNA from 1 species